GGGGUUCGGCCCUGGGGGAAUUGGGGACCCCCGGGCCCCCAGAAUUCCUUACGGGGAGGGCACCCAGUUAGGGGAAUUCUUUCCGCCAAAUGGAAAGAAAAUUUCUGAACGGAGCAAACGCCCGCCUUGAAUUGAUGAAAGGUUUUUCGGAUUCGUAAAAGCUUUUGUUUGUUAGGGAAGAACCAAGUACCGUUCGAAUAGGGCGGGUACCUUGACGGGUACCUAACCCAGAAAAGCCACGGCUAAAUUACGUGCCAGCAGCCGCGGUAAUACGUAGGUGGCAAGCGUUGUCCGGAAUUAUUGGGCGUAAAGGGCUCGCAGGCGGUUUCUUAAGUCUGAUGUGAAAGCCCCCGGCUCAACCGGGGAGGGUCAUUGGAAACUGGGGAACUUGAGUGCAGAAGAGGAGAGUGGAAUUCCACGUGUAGCGGUGAAAUGCGUAGAGAUGUGGAGGAACACCAGUGGCGAAGGCGACUCUCUGGUCUGUAACUGACGCUGAGGAGCGAAAGCGUGGGGAGCGAACAGGAUUAGAUACCCUGGUAGUCCACGCCGUAAACGAUGAGUGCUAAGUGUUAGGGGGUUUCCGCCCCUUAGUGCUGCAGCUAACGCAUUAAGCACUCCGCCUGGGGAGUACGGUCGCAAGACUGAAACUCAAAGGAAUUGACGGGGGCCCGCACAAGCGGUGGAGCAUGUGGUUUAAUUCGAAGCAACGCGAAGAACCUUACCAGGUCUUGACAUCCUCUGACAAUCCUAGAGAUAGGACGUCCCCUUCGGGGGCAGAGUGACAGGUGGUGCAUGGUUGUCGUCAGCUCGUGUCGUGAGAUGUUGGGUUAAGUCCCGCAACGAGCGCAACCCUUGAUCUUAGUUGCCAGCAUUCAGUUGGGCACUCUAAGGUGACUGCCGGUGACAAACCGGAGGAAGGUGGGGAUGACGUCAAAUCAUCAUGCCCCUUAUGACCUGGGCUACACACGUGCUACAAUGGACAGAACAAAGGGCAGCGAAACCGCGAGGUUAAGCCAAUCCCACAAAUCUGUUCUCAGUUCGGAUCGCAGUCUGCAACUCGACUGCGUGAAGCUGGAAUCGCUAGUAAUCGCGGAUCAGCAUGCCGCGGUGAAUACGUUCCCGGGCCUUGUACACACCGCCCGUCACACCACGAGAGUUUGUAACACCCGAAGUCGGUGAGGUAACCUUUAGGAGCCAGCCGCCGAAGGACC
rnacentral:rRNA from 1 species